rnacentral:rRNA from 1 species
CCUACGGGGGGCAGCAGUGAGGAAUAUUGGUCAAUGGACGAGAGUCUGAACCAGCCAAGUAGCGUGAAGGAUGACUGCCCUAUGGGUUGUAAACCUCUUUUAUAUGGGAAUAAAAUGUUCCACGUGUGGGAUUUUGUAUGUACCAUAUGAAUAAGGAUCGGCUAACUCCGUGCCAGCAGCCGCGGUAAUACGGAGGAUCCGAGCGUUAUCCGGAUUUAUUGGGUUUAAAGGGAGCGUAGGUGGAUUGUUAAGUCAGUUGUGAAAGUUUGCGGCUCAACCGUAAAAUUGCAGUUGAAACUGGCAGUCUUGAGUACAGUAGAGGUGGGCGGAAUUCGUGGUGUAGCGGUGAAAUGCUUAGAUAUCACGAAGAACUCCGAUUGCGAAGGCAGUUCACUGGACUGCAACUGACACUGAGGCUCGAAAGUGUGGGUAUCAAACAGGAUUAGAUACCCCAGUAGUC